rnacentral:tRNA from 1 species
UUGCUGGUGGUCUAGUGGCUAAGACUUGCACUCCCAAUGCAGAGGGCCCAGGUGCGAUCCCUGGUCAGGGAA